rnacentral:tRNA from 1 species
GAAUUGAAGGCUUUAUCUUAAUAAAAGUAUCUGAGUUGCAUUCAGGAGAUGUAGGUUAGUGUCCUGCAAGUCUUACA